GUGAGGAAUAUUGGUCAAUGGGCGAGAGCCUGAACCAGCCAAGUCGCGUGAAGGAUGAAGGUUUUAUGAAUUGUAAACUUCUUUUGCAGGGGAAUAAAGUACGGUACGUGUACCGUUUUGUAUGUACUCUGCGAAUAAGGAUCGGCUAACUCCGUGCCAGCAGCCGCGGUAAUACGGAGGAUCCAAGCGUUAUCCGGAUUUAUUGGGUUUAAAGGGUGCGCAGGCGGGUUGAUAAGUCAGCGGUGAAAGUUUGCAGCAUAAAUGUAAGAUUGCCGUUGAAACUGUCGAUCUUGAGUGCAAAUGAGGUAAGCGGAAGGUGUUGUGUCGCGGUGAUAUGCUUAGAUAUAACACAGAACACCGAUUGCGAAGGCAGCUUAAUGGGAUGCAACUGACGCUCAUGCACGAAAGCGUGGGGAUCAAACAGGAUUAGAUACCCUGGUAGUCC
rnacentral:rRNA from 1 species